rnacentral:rRNA from 1 species
UACGGGGGGGUGCGAGCGUUGUCCGGAAUCACUGGGCGUAAAGGGCGCGUAGGUGGUUUGAUAAGGGUGUGGUGAAAGUCCGGGGGCUCAACCCCCGGAUCUGCCGUGCCGACUGUCAAACUCGAGGACUGUAGAGGCAGACGGAAUUCCGGGUGUAGCGGUGGAAUGCGUAGAGAUCCGGAGGAAGACCGGUGGCGAAGGCGGUCUGCUGGGCAGUUUCUGACACUGAGGCGCGACAGCGUGGGGAGCAAACAGGG